GACGAACGCUGGCGGCGUGCUUAACACAUGCAAGUCGAACGGAAAGGCCCUGCUUGCAGGGUACUCGAGUGGCGAACGGGUGAGUAACACGUGGGUGAUCUGCCCUGCACUUCGGGAUAAGCCUGGGAAACUGGGUCUAAUACCGGAUAGGAGCCAUUUUUAGUGUGAUGGUUGGAAAGUUUUUUCGGUGUAGGAUGAGCUCGCGGCCUAUCAGCUUGUUGGUGGGGUAAUGGCCUACCAAGGCGGCGACGGGCAGCCGGCCUGAGAGGGUGGACGGCCACAUUGGGACUGAGAUACGGCCCAGACUCCUACGGGAGGCAGCAGUGGGGAAUAUUGCACAAUGGGCGCAAGCCUGAUGCAGCGACGCCGCGUGGGGGAUGACGGCCUUCGGGUUGUAAACGCCUUUCGCUAGGGACGAAGCUUUUUGUGACGGUACCUAGAGAAGAAGCACCGGCUAACUACGUG
rnacentral:rRNA from 1 species